GGCUUGAUGGUCUAGUAGUAUGAUUCCUGCUUCGGGCUUCAAAACCCCCUCCUUCAUGGAGGAAGCAUUGCAGGAGGUCCCGGGUUCAAUUCCCGGUCAAGCCC
rnacentral:tRNA from 1 species